GCCCCCGUAGUUCAAUGGAUAAAACAACUCCGUCCUAAGGAGAAGCUCUAGGUUCGAAUCCUGGCGGGGGCACCA
rnacentral:tRNA from 1 species